rnacentral:rRNA from 1 species
CGGGACGGGUGAGUAACGCGUGGGUAACCUACCCUGUACAGGGGGAUAACAGUCAGAAAUGACUGCUAAUACCGCAUAAGACCACAGCACCGCAUGGUGCAGGGGUAAAAACGUCCGGUGGUACAGGAUGGACCCGCGUCUGAUUAGCUGGUUGGUGAGGUAACGGCUCACCAAGGCGACGAUCAGUAGCCGGCUUGAGAGAGUGAACGGCCACAUUGGGACUGAGACACGGCCCAA